rnacentral:rRNA from 1 species
GAUGAACGCUGGCGGCGUGCCUAAUACAUGCAAGUCGAGCGAACGGACGAGAAGCUUGCUUCUCUGAUGUUAGCGGCGGACGGGUGAGUAACACGUGGAUAACCUACCUAUAAGACUAGGAUAACUUCGGGAAACCGGAGCUAAUACCGGAUGAUAUUUUGAACCGCAUGGUUCAAAAGUGAAAGACGGUCUUGCUGUCACUUAUAGAUGGAUCCGCGCUGCAUUAGCUAGUUGGUAAGGUAACGGCUUACCAAGGCAACGAUGCAUAGCCGACCUGAGAGGGUGAUCGGCCACACUGGAACUGAGACACGGUCCAGACUCCUACGGGAGGCAGCAGUAGGGAAUCUUCCGCAAUGGGCGAAAGCCUGACGGAGCAACGCCGCGUGAGUGAUGAAGGUCCUCGGAUCGUAAAACUCUGUUAUUAGGGAAGAACAUAUGUGUAAGUAACUGUGCACAUCUUGACGGUACCUAAUCAGAAAGCCACGGCUAACUACGUG